rnacentral:rRNA from 1 species
AACGAACGCUGGCGGCAUGCCUAACACAUGCAAGUCGAACGAGACCUUCGGGUCUAGUGGCGCACGGGUGCGUAACGCGUGGGAACCUGCCCUUAGGUUCGGAAUAACUCCCCGAAAGGGGUGCUAAUACCGGAUAAUGUCUUCGGCCCAAAGAUUUAUCGCCUUUGGAUGUUCCCGCGUUGGAUUAGCUAGUUGGUAGGGUAAAAGCCUACCAAGGCGACGAUCCAUAGCUGGUCUGAGAGGAUGAUCAGCCACACUGGGACUGAGACACGGCCCAGACUCCUACGGGAGGCAGCAGUGGGGAAUAUUGGACAAUGGGCGAAGGCCUGAUCCAGCAAUGCCGCGUGAGUGAUGAAGGCAUUAGGGUUGUAAAGCUCUUUUACCCGGGAUGAUAAUGACAGUACCGGGAGAAUAAGCUCCGGCUAACUCCGUG